UAGUCACAGACCUCCAGCUAGAAUAAGUCCCGUCAACCACUACCCUCUGUCCUCUACGAUUGCUGAUCAAUGGCGGCGGGACAGGAGAGCCCGCAGGCCCGAACCGCCUGCGCUGGAACCUGGGCAAACAGCAAAUCGAGGAGGAGGCCCAGGCCCUGAUGUGCAGGACAAGGCGGGUGUACGAUCGCGUUGGCUCGUUCGACCUGGCCGAGGUGACCUACGACAACACGCUGAAGGAGCUGGCCGACAUCGAGGUGGAAUACACGGAUGCUGCCUGACCUGUUGAGUAAUUACAACAUUUUCUGUGCUGUUCCUCAAACUUCAUGGGGCUUCAUUGAAACACUGUGGGAGGCCAAGGUCAACAUUGGAAUGAGAAGGGCUGGAGAAUUUGAAAAGGCAAAUGACCAGAAGUUCUUGGUUACAAUAAUAGAUUCAGUGGAGAUGUUCUGUGAAGUGAUCACCUACUCUUUAUUUGGUGUUGAGGAGAUGACAUUGGAGGCAAUAAAUAAUACAUAUUGUAUUACUAGUCAAUGGUGUAUGUUUUCUAUUCUUGUUUUUGGGGCACUAAAAACAAGAAUAGAUCCUAUGGCACUAAUUGAAGAACGUGCAUAAGUUCUGGACCCUGGCCAAUAUUUCUGUUUGUGGGAUCAUAGCACAAAUUGACAGCUGUGCUUCCUGUUAGAAUAGUGACAAUA